CGGUUCUUGUGUCUGAUUAAAGGGCAAUGAAACAUGGCUCAGCUAUCUAGGAAAUAGUGGGGAAACGAUUGGCGUUAUUUUAUAAUUAACACAGCAAUCAACGUUAGUCCAGCAGGUUACAAUGGUGCAUGCAAUGCUGAAGUGAUCAUUAUAUUUAUCGUAGCUGAUCUGUAGGGACUGUGCAUUGUGAGGUCUAACAAACCGCCGUUUGGACCGCCUGUGGCUGUGAUCGGCGUUGAUCAGCGCUCUGUAGCUUGUUGCAGCGACUAGGGAGAGGGCGAGCGCGAAAGGGAGGGGAAAGAGAGAGGCCGGCGGAAACGGAGGGGAGUGGAGUUUUCAGUUUCACCAUAAACAGGCAAUUGAGGAGACGGUAACGAAUUACAUUUUUAACUUGUUGCAAAAAUCGUUUUUAAAAAUUGUAGCUAGCAAGCUGGAAUACCGACAGUCCCGGCGAGGGGAGUCGAUGGCUUAGCAAAGCUAGGCAGGCAUCCGUCGAAUAUGCAUGUGACAGAUAGUGCGACACCGGUAUGAUACUAGCUGGUGAAUACCGUGGAUUGUGGAGACUCAUUCGCAUGGUCCCAGAAUAUGAAGACGACAAUGGAUUCGUGGUUUGUCGUUCCUCCUUGGAUAACCACCUAGAAAUGACCGGGAGCACACGUGCAUUGUAAGGUCUUAGCGACGGACCACCGAAAUUCGUUUCAAGGUAACAGCUAUGUGUACUCUGCGAGGAUAGAACCAGGCAUUAGGCUCUUUAUCGGGAACGAGCGUGGAGGGGCGUUGUGGGAAUGGCACGCUUUAGUUGAACUCAAGACUUUGAUCGCCUUGUUCUCUUUUUGUUUCGUAUAAAGCCGGCAGGCUAUUUUGUGAGCCUAUGUACAAACAAAACAGCCACGCCACGCCAAACGUGUCACUCGAGGGGGGUAGCUUUUCUGAGCUGUCUUGAGUGCUCCAUUUUAUACAGUUCCGUAGAUUUAUGCUAAGCUAACUGGCUAGCUCGGGUCAAGCUCGUGCACACUCAUGAAGGAGUACAAAGUAGUCGUUCUUGGAAGCGGCGGCGUCGGCAAGUCCGCGCUGACUGUCCAGUUUGUCACGGGUACUUUUAUCGAGAAAUACGACCCGACAAUUGAGGAUUUCUAUCGGAAAGAGAUCGAGGUGGACUCGUCGCCUUCCGUGCUGGAGAUCCUCGACACGGCAGGCACGGAACAGUUCGCCUCCAUGAGAGAUCUGUACAUCAAGAACGGCCAAGGCUUCAUUCUGGUCUACAGUCUCGUCAACCAGCAGUCAUUUCAGGACAUCCGACCAAUGCGAGACCAGAUCGUGCGAGUGAAGCGCUUCGAGAAGGUGCCCCUCAUCCUGGUGGGGAACAAGGUGGACCUGGAGUCGGAGCGCGAGGUGUCGGGCUCGGACGGCCGGGCGCUGGCCCAGGAGUGGGGCUGCCCCUUCAUUGAGACCUCUGCCAAGAGCAAGACCAUGGUGGACGAGCUGUUCGCCGAGAUCGUGCGGCAGAUGAACUACGCCACUCUGCCCGAGAAACAGGAGCAGUGCUGCACCGCUUGCGUGGUCCAGUGAGGCCUGGGGCCCGCAUCUCUCAGUACCUCCAGAAGGCACACAGACACUCAUCCAGAUACAUACAGCAGACACGUUACCUGGCCGGACAUCCUUCACUCAGUGUCUCUGCUUUGAUGACUUAAGACCACCCCCCCCCCCCACCUCCUGCCCCUAAACCACACCUGGGACACCCAGCCCUUUCGCCGCUGAACUGGGGGUCGGAGGGCGGCUUUCCCUGUUUGAACAGAAGGGGGGGGGGGGCCUUUGAGCCCCCUUCAUCGGCGAACCUCUUGACCCCUGGAAUGCACACACAUCUGCUGGUUUGACCAAUAAGGAGCCCCCUGGUGAUGCUGGGAGAACACACAGAGAAGACAGAGACUUGUGAUGGGGGGGAGGGGUGGAUGGGAGGUGGGGGAUGGUAUUGGUAUUGCAGGGUUACGGAAAUGGGGGGGGGGUGCGGUUGAGGGUUCGCUCAGGACCGCGUCCGUGAAGGUGCUUGUUCGGCAUAUCCCCUGCUUUAAAUUUCAUGGCCUCUCUUCAAUCUAAGCACAAUGUGCUUUGCCCUUAAAACCGAGUAACUCCACUAAGCAAUUAAAUUUGUAAAAGAGAAAAAUUGUAAAAUAUAUUUCUUGUUGAUUUCAGUAACUGGCAGAACACGUGAUAUUAUUAAGUAUCAGAAAAUUUGAGCUGCUUGUAGUAAAUACUCAAAGUUAAGGACGGGGCGCAUUGCAGUUAGAGUGAUCAGAGGCCCCAGUUUUAAUCUUUAUGAUUGGUUCUUUGUAUCUUUGAUUACGCGGUGGCUGUCGUGUAAGAUGGACCCCUGACCUAUCUAACUUCAUUUUAUUUGAUUAUUUUUGGUCAUUGUUUUACUAUGCUUUUUCUGUCAAUAAUCUAUUUAUUAAAACCUUAAUUACAGUGUUAGAUACUUAAUGCCUUUUUAUUUUAUUUUAUACUCUAUGAUGUGUUUUUGCUUUGGUGACUACAGUAUAUAUGGUUUUAAAUGGAGAAUUAAUUGAGCCUUAAAUGAUUUCAGUCUUAA